rnacentral:ncRNA from 2 species
CUAAUAUCGCGAGCGCGGCGAGAGUUCUGGCUCUAUGACCCGCCGGCAACCCCUCUGGAAAAUGUUCGGAGUAAGGUGCCCCAUCCAGCCCCGCAAGGGGAAAGAUGUCAG